UACAGAGGUCUCAAGCGUUUGUUCGGGAUUCAUUGGGCGUAAAGGGUGCGUAGGCGGCGCGGUAAGUCGGGUGUGAAAUCUCGGGGCUUAACUCCGAAACUGCAUUCGAUACUGCGGUGCUUGAGGACUGGAGAGGAGACUGGAAUUCAUGGUGUAGCAGUGAAAUGCGUAGAGAUCAUGAGGAAGACCAGUGGCGAAGGCGGGUCUCUGGACAGUUCCUGACACUGAGACACGAAGGCCAGGGGAGCAAACGGG
rnacentral:rRNA from 1 species